UACAGAGGGGGCAAGCGUUGUUCGGAAUUACUGGGCGUAAAGGGCGCGUAGGCGGCCUGUUAAGUCGAACGUGAAAUCCCCGGGCUCAACCCGGGAACUGCGUCCGAUACUGGCAGGCUUGAAUCCGGGAGAGGGAUGUGGAAUUCCAGGUGUAGCGGUGAAAUGCGUAGAGAUCGGCAGGAACACCCAGGGGGAAACCAGCCGCCUGGGCAAGCGCUGACGCUGAGGUGCGAGAGCGUGGGGAGCGAACCGG
rnacentral:rRNA from 1 species